rnacentral:rRNA from 1 species
UACGAAGGGGGCUAGCGUUGUUCGGAAUUACUGGGCGUAAAGCGCACGUAGGCGGAUACUUAAGUCAGGGGUAAAAUCCCGAGGCUCAACCUCGGAACUGCCUUUGAUACUGGGUAUCUCGAGUCCGGAAGAGGUGAGUGGAAUUCCGAGUGUAGAGGUGAAAUUCGUAGAUAUUCGGAGGAACACCAGUGGCGAAGGCGGCUCACUGGUCCGGUACUGACGCUGAGGUGCGAAAGCGUGGGGAGCAAACAGG